UAGGGAGCAUAUUACAACUGCGGAAUGAUAGAAAUACAAUCUAGGAAGUCCGGUCAGAAUCCGGCACGGUUUAUCUCCGCUGUAAUAAGGACGAAAGUUGUCGAUACCACUGGGAAACCGGGAAGGGACAAUGAGUAGGUUGGAACUUUAAGUCAGAAUACAGGCAGUUGCAGCUCAGUAGAU
rnacentral:ncRNA from 2 species